rnacentral:RNase_P_RNA from 1 species
CGGGGAGGCCGUGCAGCCGCCGGCAGGCUCGACCUGCGGGAGGAAAGUCCGAGCUCCACAGGGCAGGGUGCUGGCUAACGGCCAGUCAAGGCAACUUGCAGGAAAGUGCCACAGAAAACAGACGGCCUCUCAACGGGUCCUCGCGGACCUGGGACGGGGUCACGGCGAACCGGUGCGGUAAGAGCGCACCGCGCCCGUGGUGACACGGGUGGCACGGCAAACCCCACCUGGAGCAAGACCGAAUAGGGGUCGCGAUGGGUGGCCCGCCCAGACCCGGGUACGGUCGCUCGAGCGGCGCGGCAACGCGUCGCCUAGAUGAAUGGCUGCGGCGCGGAUCUUCCGCGGACAGAACUCGGCUUACAGGCUUGCCCGCUCC